UAUUGACACAUAUCCUUGUACUUAUCAUCUUGAACUUAACUGUUAUGGAGUCUUAUCCUUUCAAUCUCAACUUGACUGCAGCACAUAAGAUACUCUUAGGACCAUUCAGUGGGAUCUGGAAUAUCAUCUUUAUAUUCUUUAAGUGCUUGAAGAAGUUGUUGAUAAUAAGGGCCAUCUAGUACAGUGUCUCAUGGAGCAUUAAUAUGUGGAGGAGGCCAGAUUUCAAAUGGGAUAACUCGAUUAAACUGGCAAAGAUAUUUCUGCAGGUUUAUGUAUUCAUUAUCAGAGUGCGUAACUUCAUCCGAAUAGAUUCUAUGAAUCCAAGCGGGAACCUAGCUGUGUAGCUCGUCCACAUUGCACGAAAUAUUGUGGUAUAUAGAAAAUGAUUACAGCUUUAUGUCUAGGAGUUCUCAUUUGUUCAUUUGUAAUCAUGUUCAACCAUUGGUCAAAAGGAUGGAACCAACUUAAGAAUGUGAAAUUUUUUUGAUAUUUAGGCUGGAUAUUUCCAUGAACCGCAUUGCACAGGAAAUAUUUGAGGUCUAAAACAGAAAAUUGAAUGGAUACAUGGUAAAGACGAGUAAAAUACCAUAAAAACCAUUUCAAUUCUUCUGGAACUUCAGUGAAAUAAGUCCAUCAGAUAGGAUGAAUAAAAGGAUAAUCAGGGUGAACACCAAAGGGUUUGAGGACGAGACCUCCAAAGUUUUUGAAAACUUGGAGUUGAUAUUCAAACAUCAUGUCUCGGGUUUUUUGGUGAAAAGUUUUUUCUUCAAAAAGCCUCAUAACCUCUGAAGGAAAUUCUGGAUUCAGGUUGGGUGGAAUGAGAAAGGCUUGCACAGAGUUUUUUGAAGAAGAUAAUGCUACUGUUCUGUACAUCAUUAUGGGCCUGGGCUGGGAAGUUCUGAGUGCCAUAACCUCUUUUGUUGGCCUGGUUAAAAGAUCUGCCAAAACAUUGGUAUUUCUUUUAGUGUGUUUAACAUCAAAGGAAUAUUUAGAAAACUAUUUAGCCUAUCUCAAGAGUUGAGAAUGUGGAACAGUUUUCUGUUUGAACUUGAGCAUUUGUGGAAAUGAAGACAUGUCCAUUUCAAUUAAGAAAUGGUAUUCAAUUAGAUGGAAUUCAACUUUUGAAAUACCUUUCUUUAACUGCAAGGAUUUCUUUGAAAGUGGAGUGGUAAUGAAGUUCUGCAUCAAUAAAUCUUCCACUUUUAAAUUCACGUAUGUGUCUUUUUCCUUCAAGUUCUUUAAAUAAAAUGGCUCCCCAAUAUUUAUCACUUGCAUCUGUUUGAAGAAUUCUCUUUCCAUCAUAGGGGAUCUGUAAUGCCGGUAGAUGUUGUAAUUUUUCUUUCAGUAUUUGGAUGGCUUUGGUUUGUGUUGUGCUCCAUGGAGGCGGAUUUUUCUUUAACAUCUUGGUGAGAGGGUUAAUAUAUCUAGAGAUUUUAGGAUGGAUAAUUAACAACUCUCAGAAAUUGUUGGAUUUGCUUCUUGGUUAAAUCUGCAUCUGGAAACUCAAGGAGUUUUUUAGCAAUAUGUGGUCUUGAAGAAUAUUUGCCUUCUUUAUUCAUUCCAAGAUAUUCUAUCUCUGAUUUGUUGAUGUGCAUCUUCCUUUCAGAAAUCAUAAUUCCAUUGGAAUAUGAGUUGACUAAAUUGGUUGAGUAAUUCAGAAUAAGUUUCUUCAUCUGGGCUGUAUAAGAGAAUGUCAUCAAUACAAAUCAAGGCACUAUUCAUGAUUGCACGAAAAAUCUUGGUCAUGGCCUUCUGAAAUUUGGAUGGUGCUGUUGUUAGUCUAAAAGACAUCACUUUCCACUGGUAGUGUCUGUUUGGAAUACAAAACCCCGUCUUUGGCCUGUUUUCUGGAAUGACUCGUCAUUGCCAAAAUAUAGCUUUGAGAUCAAAUUUGGAAUAGACUUAGCUUUGACUAAAUUGGAUAAUAAUGCCUUCUUAUUUGGCGAGAUCAAAUUUGGAAUAGACUUUAGCUUUGGCUAAACUGAAGAAUAAUGCCUUCUUAUUUAGCAGUGGGAAUUUAUCAUCCUGAAGGAAAAGAUUAAAGGGUUCAUAGUUUACCACCAAUCUAAGUUUUCCCCUUAUUUGUUCAGACCCUUUGUUGACAUAAAAUGCUUCAUACGCCCAUUGUGAUUCUGAGGGUUCAAUUAGACUUUGUUGUUGAAGUUCUUCACAUUCAUUUUCUGCAAGACGGAGAUGUUUAGGAUUCAUUCCUUGAUGACUGGCUUUUGUGGGAUUUAUGUCUUCAUUCUUCUUAAAUGGCAAAGAGAUAAAGAAAUCAAAAUUUUUCCACAGAGGGUUUGAGCAUUUGGAGAAAAAUUUGGUGUGGGAAUUUGCACAGGUAAUGUUUUUGAGUUUCUGGACUAUUUGGGAUAUCUUGUGUAACUAGAAGGUAAACAAUUUGGGUAUCUGCACAAAUGGUUGAAAUUGAUUUUUAUAUCUAAACCCAUAUGGAAGGAUUCUCAGACGUUAGGCUUUAGAAUAAAUAUCAAAACCAAUGACAAUAUAUUUUCCUGGAAGCUUGGAUCCAAGAAUAGUUACCUUAACAAAACAUCUAGGGAAAAAUUGUAUGGUGAUAGGCUUAUUUUUCAGAUAAGUUGUAAAAGGAUAAUUUGCUGCUGAGUUGAAAAAUGUUGUAUGAGGUAUCCACCAUUCUGAUGGAAGAACAUCUAGGUUCAUGAUAGUAGCAGCAGCUCCAGUGUCAAGAAAUGCAAUAACAGUAAUAGGCUUACUGUAUUUGUCUAAAUAGAUCUUCACUGGGACUUGGGGAACUAGUACAGUAUCCUUUGCAAUAAAUGAUUGGUGUUGUGUUUCUUGGGCCUGCAUGGCGAUCAUCAUGUAAAUGGAUGAGUCCAAAAAAUCAGACUCAUUGCUUGGAAAAUAAGUUAGAAUAACACAUAGGGUCUUUUCUGUUGGUUCAUCAUCUAUUGAGAAAAGAGAUUCUAGAUCAUCAUCUUUUUUUAUUUGAAUUCCAACUUUGUUUUGGAUCUGUUGGAUCAUUUUUGCACCUUUUUUUUGUUAUUGGUACAAUUUUUUUGGCAAAAUGCCCCUUUUUAUUGCAAAUAUAGCAUCUAGAUGAUUUUGUACCUUGAAGAGAUUUCUUCCUUUUCAAAUAUCUCCACUGUGGCUUCCAUUUUCUUGAAGUUCUGGAGGAUUUGUUGCAUUGGAAGAUAGAUCUCUUGAAAUGUCUUUUCUUUUUGGUUCUACAUAUGUAAGAAUAAUCUUUUGGGCAUUUGAACUUCAAGUAAGAAUCAUCACAAGCUUUGUCAAUCCUUUUAUCUCCAUAAAGAUAAUCUUUAAAAAUCUUCCUUCUAUCCAACUGUAAGACUCAGAAUGUCUUUGUUUUGUCUCUAGAGAGCUUGAUUUAUUGCAACUUGUAGGGGAUCUGGGAUUGAAGCAAGGAUUGCUGGUUUGAGAUUACUGUUGAGUCCUAAUGAGCAGAAAAGUCGAGUCAUUAUUUUGAAAUGUCUUGACAGGUCUUUUUUGCUGUAGGAAUAACAUUUUCUUUUAAAAAACUCUUGUCACUUCAGAUUAAGUAAAUCAUCUGGAUUGCCAACAAAAUGUUGAAUGAUUUAGAUUGAAGUACUCAGAUCUUGAAGGACCAAGAACUGCAUCUGUGAAUUUUGAUCAAUUGAAUUCCAAAAAUCUCUAAACAUUCUUGUAAACUUGGAAACAUAUUCCAAGAGAAUGUUGUAGCAGUAAGCUUUCGGGUGUCAAGACAAGAAUGAAAUUUUUGAAUUCUUGCUGGCCAUUUUUUUGGUGGAAUAUUAUCAAGUGUGAAGGUCAUUCGACUAAUGGAUGGUCCUUUUGUGGUUCUUAAAGCUUGAAAUGAUGAUUCUCCUUAUUGAGUUACAUCUGCCAUUGGUUCAUCAUCAGAAAUGACCUUAACCUUUGGUUGAGCUUGGGCAAUCCUUUUAAGAUUUUCACCUGACUCAUCUUCUGAGGAGGAAUCUGAGGAGUCUGUUGAUAUUUCAGUAGAUGAUGACUCUGUUUGAGAAUUGUUUUCUUCUUAUGAUAGCUGAAUAGCUGAAAUUCUUGGUACCAAAUUGUCUUGACAAUCUUUUAAAAAGGAUAAUAAAUGAUUCUUCUGAUGUUGUAUCAUCAAGGAUUUGGAAGUUUGUUUCGGGGGAGGAGAAGGGACUGCAGGAAACUUAAUGAAAGCUCUGUCUGAUGGAGAACUGUUCUGUCUGAUUGAAGGAAAUAGCAAGAAUUCUGUGUCAGAAUCUUUAGGACUCGUUUUUAGCGGAGGAAUUUAUCAUAUUUCCUUCAAAGUUUUAAUCUGAUCUUUCAGCCUUCAAAUUUCUUUAUCCCUUUGUGUGAUAUGGGAAAAAAAAUCUUGUCCUAGAGCAGCCGUUUCUCUAGCAACUUCUUUUAAGCGUUUCUGUAGAAGGGCAAUUAAGUCUUUUACCAUCUUGGAGUUAUCAUCAAGUUUAGCUUCAACCGUUGACUUUUGAAUCCAGAUGGGAGACUUUAGAAACUAGUUUCUUGAGAACCCUGUUCUGUGCUAUGGCAUUUUCAUUUUGCCAUUUCAGGGCAGCUUCUGCAGCACAAAUUUGUGGGUUUGCCUAAGUCAUUAGCUUGAAGUUUGGAAGGAAUUUUAGGGGCAUGGGUUUACCCCUGUUGGGUAAAUUCUUGUAAAGGUGGAAAUUCUUGUUCAUAUGAUGUAUCUGUAAAAUGAUACAUACAUACUGAGGUACGCACAGGGAUUUCUUUUGAACCCAUUUACGAAUUUGGUUAUAGCAGGGCUGAGGGAAAGGGUUUUUGUUUAGAGUUAUAACUUUUUUGGGUGCAGGAGGAGACAAAGGUUUUCAAAGAGCUAGUGGGUUUGAGUCAGUUAGUAAUAUCAGGUUUGGUUGAGGAAUUUUUGUAGAGUAAUCAACAAGGUAAAGGAAUUUACCAUUGUCUUCUCUUAAAGGGCCAAUGGAAGAGUCUCCGUUCAUGUAUCUUUUGUAAAACUCGGAUUGAGAGGAUUUCCUUUUUGACUUCUUUUUA